AAAAAAACAACAACAACAACACACUGAAGCAAAUCCCGCCCAUACUCCGUGAGCUUCUGGAGACUGCCGGCUGGACUGUGCCGCCUGUACAGUAAAUAAUCUCAUGGACUUAUCGCUAAAUUAAUCCCAGAUUUCUGCCAAGGCUUUUUCUACUCAACCACUUGACAUUGCGCUCCCUCUCCGUGUCCCUCUCGCUUUCGCACUCGCAUGUGCUGUGUCUGUGUCUGUGUCUCCCUGGAGGUGCUCUGGCGCGUGCAACUGAGGCCAAAGGAAACUGAUAAGCAAGCAACAAAUCCCCACACAUGAGACAGGAUAAAGAAAUCAGUAAAAAAUAAAAACAACAAAAAUACAGAGGCAAGCAGUCCUUGAAGGGAUGCAAAAAACAGCUCAAAACUUGCAAAAUGAUUUUAAAUGAUAUAGGAAAUGGCAAACGGAAUACCACACAGACAGACAGUCAGACAUAAAAAACAACUCAAAUGGACUUGGGCACUGGCCCUGAUCUUGUUAAGAUAAAGUCCUUUUGCAAAUAUUAACAAACAGGAUAUAAGAACAGAGAAAUAUGCUAUAUACAUAUAUAAUAAUAGGAAAAUUCGAAGAAAUUUGUAACUUGAAGUCCCUUGUGAAUGAUACUUUUAGAUGGCAUCACCUUAUCAAUUUGUAUAUUGUUCGCAUAGUGCUUGCAAUUGUGUUACCAACUGAUUGGAAUAGCUGUGAUGCUCUUGUCGUGCCGCCAACACAAAAUGUCACUUCAACAAUUUCCUGAGCGCAUUUUUAAAGACGCUUUUUAUGCGUCGCCAUUUUGUGAGUGAGUGCCAAAGCGAGUGCAUGUGUGUGUGUGUGUGUGUGUGUAGCGCAAAAUUUUAUUUGACUUGCGUGUAAUGUUGGCACACACUCGCACACACAGCCAUGUUGUGCCUAAGCCUUUGCGCACAUUUCCAAGGAUUGCUUAAGCAAGUCAAUGGCAACGACAUGGGCAUGAGGGGGUCUGGAGCGGUGGCAGGGUGAAAUUACGUUGAGCAACAAAUGUCAAAAAUAAAGCCAGCCAGCUGCAGCGUAGAACGAAUUAUCCAUUCAAAACUGCAAUUGACAUGUGUGCCUAUCUCACGGGUUGUCAUUCGUAGUUGUAUAUAUGUGUGUGUGUGUGUGUGUGUGUGUGUGUGAGGCAAAAGCUUAAACAGCUUUGACAGCAGCAGCAAUUAUGUUUAUUUAUUUUUUGUUUUGGCUCAGACGAAUAAUUGGAACUCCUUUGAGCUGAUCAGAAAAUGCAGGCAGCUGGAAAAAACCCAUAAAAAAAAAAAAA
rnacentral:sRNA from 1 species